rnacentral:rRNA from 1 species
GACGGAGGAUGCAAGCGUUAUCCGGAUUUAUUGGGUUUAAAGGGUGUCUAGGCGGGGAGAUAAGUCAGUGGUGAAAUACUAUGGCUUAACCAUAGACUGUCCAUUGAGACUGUUUUUCUUGAGUACGGUUGAGGUAAGUGGAAUGCGUAGUGUAGCGGUGAAAUGCUUAGAUAUUACACAGAACACCGAUUGCGAAGGCAGCUUACCAAGCCGGCACUGACGCUAAAGCACGAAAGCGUGGGGAGCGAACAGG